AUUCCGUCCUGACGCGGCGAGGAUGUGGUUGCGAGCGCUGUCGGUGUUUCUCGUCCUCCACGCUGCGAUGUUUGCGAUGGAGCCCCCUGUCAAGUCCACCACGCUCAGGAGGGCACACGGGCGGACGUACUUGUUUGAGAGGCGCAAGAACAUCGAAUUGCCUGACAGGUGCCAAGAUGGAACAAUCGACGUAAAUGGAGCCUGUGUGAAGACGGUUCAGCUGAGUCCGAAUUAGAAGAACUGAAGGUACUCGGACUGGAGGGCUGUAUCCUACUAGGAGUGGGGAACACCUGUCUCAAGCGUGUGAUUUGUAGCUGGAUUUAAGGAAAAGGCAUAUGGACACAAAAAUGACUUGUGAGACAUUAUAUUACUAACGACAAUAUUUUUGUGAGAUGUAAAAUAAAAUCCUAACUCUCCAUCUCCCGAGAAAGAAGAGAAACAUCACCUGCCACAGAGUUGAAUACUCCUAAAAUGCAGAAUCAUCGAUGAAAUGUGUGCUGUUCACUUAUGUAAAAAUAAAGAAAUUUCGUAAAUAAAAGAACUAACCAUCA